rnacentral:rRNA from 1 species
AACCUCCGCAAUGUGAGAAAUCGCGACGGGGGGAUCCCAAGUGCCAUUCUUAACGGGAUGGCUUUUCUUAAGUGUAAAAAGCUUUUGGAAUAAGAGCUGGGCAAGACCGGUGCCAGCCGCCGCGGUAACACCGGCAGCUCUAGUGGUAGCUGUUUUUAUUGGGCCUAAAGCGUUCGUAGCCGGUUUGAUAAGUCACUGGUGAAAUCCUGUAGCUUAACUGUGGGAAUUGCUGGUGAUACUGUUGAACUUGAGGUCGGGAGAGGUUAGCGGUACUCCCAGGGUAGAGGUGAAAUUCUGUAAUCCUGGGAGGACCACCUGUGGCGAAGGCGGCUAACUGGAACGAACCUGACGGUGAGGGACGAAAGCUAGGGGCGCGAACCGGAUUAGAUACCCGGGUAGUCCUAGCGUAAACGAUGCGGACUUGGUGUUGGGAUGGCUUUGAGCCGCUCCGGUGCCGAAGGGAAGCUGUUAAGUCCGCCGCCUGGGAAGUACGUCGCAAGACUGAAACUUAAAGGAAUU